GUGCCAGCAGCCGCGGUAAAACGUAGGACACGAGCGUUAUCCGGAGUUACUGGGCGUAAAGGGCGUGCAGGCGGUUUUGUAAGUUUGAUGUGAAAGCGCCCGGCUUAACCGGGCGAGGACAUUGGAGACUGCAAGACUAGAGGCAGAUAGAGGGGUGUAGAAUUCCGGGUGUAGUGGUGAAAUGCGUAGAGAUCCGGAGGAAUACCAGAGGCGAAGGCGGCACCCUGGGUCUGACCUGACGCUGAGACGCGACAGCAUGGGGAGCGAACGGGAUUAGAAACCCCCGUAGUCC
rnacentral:rRNA from 1 species